CCCGCACAAGCGGUGGAGUAUGUGGUUCAAUUCGAUGCAACGCGAAGAACCUUACCUGGUCUUGACAUCCCGGAGACCCUUAGGAAACUAGGGGUGCUUCCAUCUGAAGAAUCUGGAGACAGGUGCUGCAUGGCUGUCGUCAGCUCGUGUCGUGAGAUGUUGGGUUAAGUCCCGCAACGAGCGCAACCCUUGCCUUUAGUUGCCAGCAGUUCGGCUGGGCACUCUAAAGGGACUGCCGGUGUUAAACCGGAGGAAGUGGGGAUGACGUCAAGUCCUCAUGGCCUUUAUGACCAGGGCUACACACGUACUACAAUGGCCGAUACAAAGGGCAGCGACACUGCGAGGUGAAGCCAAUCCCGUAAAAUCGGUCUCAGUCCGGAUUGGAGUCUGCAACUCGACUCCAUGAAGUUGGAAUCGCUAGUAAUCGUGGAUCAGCAUGCCACGGUGAAUACGUUCCCGGGCCUU
rnacentral:rRNA from 1 species